ensembl:snoRNA
UGAAGCAAUGAAGACAAUUGAUGCCACGUGAAUUAUAGAUGGUGAACAAUAUGUGUGUAUGGAACUCUGAGGUCCAA